CCGGCAGAGGUGGCUGGGGUGUCGCUGCUGUGGGAGGCGGCGGCAGAGUGAGGGGCGAGGCCCGAGGGGCCGGCGGCGGCGGCGGCGGCGGCGGCGGCGGCGGCGGCGGCGGCGGCGGCGGGGGCUUCCCGGCCGGUGUAAAAAGUGGAUAGUGGCUCACGUGUCAAAGGAUGGCACGGUCACGAUCUAGAUCCCCCAGGUGGAAACACAGGUCUUUAUCACCAGUACCUAGAAAUGCUGAACACUACAAGCAAAGACAUUCACACGGGCAUUAUGGCUGUGAAUAUAGGAAGGAUCCAAAAAGACCCGUCGCGUGGAGAAUGGACAGUGAGAAACAUGGACAGAGUAAACCAAGGAUUCCCUCUCGUGGAAAUAUAUAUUACCAGUCUUAUGAACAUAGAUCACCUUCCCCUAACAUAAGAAACUCUUUAGAAAAUGUUUAUAUGUAUAAGCCUCACAGAGGAUAUUCGCCUGGAAGAGGGGACAGUAACAGGAGAGCUCAGUAUAUGCCCAAAUACUCAGAGGGUAUACCCUACAAAGAGCAUGAAAGGAAUUCUUAUCCCCAGAAAGUGCAAGGAGGGCAUAGUCCUGAUGACCACAGAGUUAGAGGAAGUGGAAAAGGAGGGAAACCACCUCAGAGGUCAAUAGCAGAUUCUUUUAGAUUUGAAGGAAAGUGGCAUGAAGAUGAGUUGAGGCACCAGAGGAUACAAGAAGAAAAAUACUCCCAGUCAACUAGAAGAGGCUCUGAAGACUUUGAGACAAGGAGCUCAUUUCAGAAGAGGUAUCCUGAGGAUCGUGAUUUCAGAAAAUAUGGACACACAUCAAAAAGACCUAAAGACGUGGAGAGGUAUGAAAGCAGAGAGCCUGCCAGGAACCCAAAGUGGAAGCCUGAGCAUUCCCUCCCACCUUACCAAGAGGACACAGACCAGUGGAACCUUGGGCCCCAAACUUAUCGACAUGCUGAGAGGGAACACCCAGAGACCAGUUCAGCAACCAAAGUAUCCUAUGACUAUCGUCACAAACGUCCUAAGCUCUUGGAUGGGGACCAGGACUUUUCUGAUGGGAGAACUCAGAAGUACUGUAAGG
rnacentral:lncRNA from 1 species